rnacentral:rRNA from 1 species
AUAACCGGCGAUGUCCGAAUGGGGAAACCCAGUGCAAUUCGUUGCACUAUCGUUAACUGAAUACAUAGGUUAACGAGGCGAACCGGGGGAACUGAAACAUCUAAGUACCCCGAGGAAAAGAAAUCAACCGAGAUUCCCCCAGUAGCGGCGAGCGAACGGGGAGCAGCCCAGAGUCUGAAUCAGCUUGUGUGUUAGUGGAACGGUCUGGAAAGUCCGACGGUACAGGGUGAUAGUCCCGUACACCAAAAUGCACAGGUUGUGAACUCGAAGAGUAGGGCGGGACACGUGGUAUCCUGUCUGAAUAUGGGGGGACCAUCCUCCAAGGCUAAAUACUCCUGACUGACCGAUAGUGAACCAGUACCGUGAGGGAAAGGCGAAAAGAACCCCGGCGAGGGGAGUGAAAAAGAACCUGAAACCGUGUACGUACAAGCAGUGGGAGCACCUUCGGGUGUGACUGCGUACCUUUUGUAUAAUGGGUCAGCGACUUAUAUUCUGUAGCAAGGUUAACCGUAUAGGGGAGCCGCAGGGAAACCGAGUCUUAACUGGGCGUUAAGUUGCAGGGUAUAGACCCGAAACCCGGUGAUCUAGCCAUGGGCAGGUUGAAGGUUGGGUAACACUAACUGGAGGACCGAACCGACUAAUGUUGAAAAAUUAGCGGAUGACUUGUGGCUGGGGGUGAAAGGCCAAUCAAACCGGGAGAUAGCUGGUUCUCCCCGAAAGCUAUUUAGGUAGCGCCUCGUGAACUCAUCUUCGGGGGUAGAGCACUGUUUCGGCUAGGGGGUCAUCCCGACUUACCAACCCGAUGCAAACUACGAAUACCGAAGAAUGUUAUCACGGGAGACACACGGCGGGUGCUAACGUCCGUCGUGAAGAGGGAAACAACCCAGACCGCCAGCUAAGGUCCCAAAGUCAUGGUUAAGUGGGAAACGAUGUGGGAAGGCACAGACAGCCAGGAUGUUGGCUUAGAAGCAGCCAUCAUUUAAAGAAAGCGUAAUAGCUCACUGGUCGAGUCGGCCUGCGCGGAAGAUGUAACGGGGCUAAACCAUGCACCGAAGCUGCGGCAGCGACACUAUGUGUUGUUGGGUAGGGGAGCGUUCUGUAAGCCUGCGAAGGUGUGCUGUGAGGCAUGCUGGAGGUAUCAGAAGUGCGAAUGCUGACAUAAGUAACGAUAAAGCGGGUGAAAAGCCCGCUCGCCGGAAGACCAAGGGUUCCUGUCCAACGUUAAUCGGGGCAGGGUGAGUCGACCCCUAAGGCGAGGCCGAAAGGCGUAGUCGAUGGGAAACAGGUUAAUAUUCCUGUACUUGGUGUUACUGCGAAGGGGGGACGGAGAAGGCUAUGUUAGCCGGGCGACGGUUGUCCCGGUUUAAGCAUGUAGGCUGGUUGUCCAGGCAAAUCCGGAUAAUCAAGGCUGAGGUGUGAUGACGAGGCACUACGGUGCUGAAGUAACAAAUGCCCUGCUUCCAGGAAAAGCCUCUAAGCAUCAGGUAACAUUAAAUCGUACCCCAAACCGACACAGGUGGUCAGGUAGAGAAUACCAAGGCGCUUGAGAGAACUCGGGUGAAGGAACUAGGCAAAAUGGUGCCGUAACUUCGGGAGAAGGCACGCUGGUGUGUAGGUGAAGUCCCUGCGGAUGGAGCUGAGACCAGUCGAAGAUACCAGCUGGCUGCAACUGUUUAUUAAAAACACAGCACUGUGCAAACACGAAAGUGGACGUAUACGGUGUGACGCCUGCCCGGUGCCGGAAGGUUAAUUGAUGGGGUUAUCCGUAAGGAGAAGCUCUUGAUCGAAGCCCCGGUAAACGGCGGCCGUAACUAUAACGGUCCUAAGGUAGCGAAAUUCCUUGUCGGGUAAGUUCCGACCUGCACGAAUGGCGUAAUGAUGGCCAGGCUGUCUCCACCCGAGACUCAGUGAAAUUGAACUCGCUGUGAAGAUGCAGUGUACCCGCGGCAAGACGGAAAGACCCCGUGAACCUUUACUAUAGCUUGACACUGAACAUUGAGCCUUGAUGUGUAGGAUAGGUGGGAGGCUUUGAAGCGUGGACGCCAGUCUGCGUGGAGCCAACCUUGAAAUACCACCCUUUAAUGUUUGAUGUUCUAACGUUGGCCCCUUACCGGGGUUGCGGACAGUGUCUGGUGGGUAGUUUGACUGGGGCGGUCUCCUCCCAAAGCGUAACGGAGGAGCACGAAGGUUAGCUAAUCCUGGUCGGACAUCAGGAGGUUAGUGCAAUGGCAUAAGCUAGCUUGACUGCGAGCGUGACGGCGCGAGCAGGUGCGAAAGCAGGUCAUAGUGAUCCGGUGGUUCUGAAUGGAAGGGCCAUCGCUCAACGGAUAAAAGGUACUCCGGGGAUAACAGGCUGAUACCGCCCAAGAGUUCAUAUCGACGGCGGUGUUUGGCACCUCGAUGUCGGCUCAUCACAUCCUGGGGCUGAAGUAGGUCCCAAGGGUAUGGCUGUUCGCCAUUUAAAGUGGUACGCGAGCUGGGUUUAGAACGUCGUGAGACAGUUCGGUCCCUAUCUGCCGUGGGCGCUGGAGAAUUGAGGGGGGCUGCUCCUAGUACGAGAGGACCGGAGUGGACGCAUCACUGGUGUUCGGGUUGUCAUGCCAAUGGCACUGCCCGGUAGCUAAAUGCGGAAGAGAUAAGUGCUGAAAGCAUCUAAGCACGAAACUUGCCCCGAGAUGAGUUCUCCCUGAGACUUUAAGUCUCCUGAAGGAACGUUGAAGACGACGACGUUGAUAGGCCGGGUGUGUAAGCGCAGCGAUGCGUUGAGCUAACCGGUACUAAUGAACCGUGAGGCUUAACCUU